rnacentral:rRNA from 1 species
CCUACGGGUGGCAGCAGUGGGGAAUAUUGCACAAUGGGGGAAACCCUGAUGCAGCGACGCCGCGUGAGUGAAGAAGUAUUUCGGUACGUAAAGCUCUAUCAGCAGGGAAGAAAAUGACGGUACCUGACUAAGAAGCCCCGGCUAACUACGUGCCAGCAGCCGCGGUAAUACGUAGGGGGCACGCGUUAUCCGGAUUUACUGGGUGUAAAGGGAGCGUAGACGGUGCAGCAAGUCUGAUGUGAAAGGUGGGGGCCAAACCCCGGGACUGCAUUGGAAACUGUGGAACUGGAGGACAGGAGAGGUAAGCGGAAUUCCUAGUGUAGCGGUGAAAUGCGUAGAUAUUAGGAGGAACACCAGUGGCGAAGGCGGCUUACUGGACUGUAACUGACGUUGAGGCUCGAAAGCGUGGGGAGCAAACAGGAUUAGAUACCCGAGUAGUC